AGUUGCCACGGUUGCAGCGGUGGACAAAGCGGGAGCAUUCCAGGAACAAGGCUGCUCUGGCCACUACCGGGGCUUCCUGAGGAGGGUUGGUAAGGAAAGAAGAAUGUGGGAUUCAUGAAGAAUAUGUUUAAAUCACUGCUAAGGAGCACCACUAGCUUACCUCUUACGGCUCAGUGCAAUCUGAAGAAGCAGCGAAAAAUGGAGACAUGACAUAAUGGAUAGGGAUGGAUUCACAUCACAGAGACAAACAGCACAAAUGGAGAGAAAUGAAGCAGAAGAGAGCUGCAUGGCUGGAAAGAACCACAGAAUAUCAGAGGCAAAGUUACAAGUGAACAUCUAAAAACUUGACACUACUGGCAUACCACAAAAAUGCUGCUGGUGGUCCUGAAAAAAAAAAGUAGGAAUAUCAAAAUCUCUUCUUUCUUGUUAGCCUGCCUCCCUAGACACUAUAAUGACACAAAACUGUUUCUAUUCCUAAUUUCAUUGCUUACAGAGAAGCAAGAAUAAAUUUUAACUGAGAUGGCAAAUUUUAACUGAGAUAGCAAAUUUUAAGUUCAACUGUAUUUAAUUUUAAAAAGUGAAAAUCAAAGAUAGUCAAAUAUCAACAAUUUUGUGUAGCUCACUUAUUCCUAUAUAAGGUGUCUGUUGCAAUGGUUACAGAAUUGUCGAGUUAAAAUUACAGGACGUCAUGAGAAUGUCAUUAUACUGUGUUUCUCUUACAUUCUACAACUGGAAACCUUCAAACGUCCAACUACUUUCUUUGACUGCCUUUGCCAUUUUCCCCUGAAUUUUAUAGGAUUGUUAUGUAUAUUGAAUGCUUCCUUUAUGAAAGCAAAGUUGUGAAUUGGAAUAUUAAUCCAAACAGCUGUGGUUUCUUUUGUCUGGGGACCUAGAAAAUACUGUUACCAAGAUACGAUGGUUAAUUGAAUGUUAUAAUUGCAACCUAUUCCUUUCCCUGAGGGACUAUAUCUAAGCUUAUAAUGUGAGAAGAAUCCUUGAGCGAUCCUGAAAACUCAUAUAGCACUGGACAAGAACUAACUGUUCUAAAAGACUAACUAUUCUAUGUGGGCCCCAGAGGAAUUACAUAAUUUUUAUUGCCUUACAAUAAAAUAUUGCAAGCA